CGGGGGAGGCCGGAUCCUGGGCUGUGUCCCGGCGCCCUGUGCUCCGGAGCCUUCGCCGUUGGAUUCGAGCUCCCGCCCCGCAGCCCCCU
rnacentral:pre_miRNA from 1 species